CCACAAUCAACUUCACUACCAGUAAUAGAUAACUUUUAUUGAGUUCCUCUGUGCCAGGCAUUGUGCUAGGCAUUUUGCAUGUGUUUUUACACAUUUUAGAACCAAAGAGCCUAUGAGGUAGCUACCAUUAUUCCCAUUUCACAGACGAGGAAACUGCAUUUUAAAGAAAUAGAGUAACUUGCCCAAGAUCCUACAAGGUGAAACCAUGCAAAAUCAUUCUUCGGUGUCUCUAUGCCGCUUCCCUCACUUGAUUGAGCUGUUGUUGAUACAUGGUGAUGGCUUGCAUGGACUGAACAAAGUCUAAAUUCCCAGCGUGAAAUGGCACACAUUUUGUCUUGUAUGCUAAAUGGCAACUUAGCUGGAGUAAAUCCAUCGCCCCUUCUCCCAUUCCGUCAACUCUAGGCACAUUGCAUUGGUGUAUCCCAUGAGGGCUGGAGGCUUACUGUAAAGUAAGCUUUAGCAGUUUCUCUUUGGGAGGAAUGGAGCAUCCUACAGCUUCGUUAUUGGGAAAGUGGACCGUGAGCUCUGUGAUGAAUGCCCCACUAUUAGCCGCAUCUUUAAUGUUUUAGCCAUCCUCACAUUUCUUGGAAAGUGUGAUGAAGAAGAUGAAGUGGCUGAUGAGGUGGGUGGGUUGGCCUACAUCUUUCUUCUCGGGGCCGGUGCCUUUUCAUCCCCAUUUUUUUUUCCCUGUGGAGAAAGUCAUCUCAUCCAGAGCAUCACUUUCUCUGAAAAUGGAGGAUAAACAUUCUGUUUCACUGCAGGAGUCUAGGGAGUAUUGUGUGGUCAGUUUGUAAGGCACUUUAAGCUUCUCAGAUAAGAGUUGUUUUGUCAUGUCUGACAUUAAGGAAUUAUUGUCUUAACCUCCUAUUUCUCUGAAACCUGUUAUUUUACUGUUUUUUCCAUUUGUUGGGUCUUUGCAAAAGUGACCUCAAGAACUGGAACUGAAGAAAGGCUACAGAAAGUUGAGAAUACUCCUUGAAUAGGGUUGGCGGUGUGUAAGAAAGGGGUAUGGCAGGGGUCAACAGAGACCUUGCUUUCUCAUUGAUAAAAGGACAAAUAUCUUUUUGAUAGGAACCAUCUUAUUUAUAAGAGCUGUUGGUGGUUACUUAUAUGACUGGGUACAAGUAGAGAAGGUGCUGGGUGUGGUAGCCCAUCCCCACCAACAUGCCACUCCUUGGGUCCUAAACGUCCUCUGAUCCUUUGUAAUCUCUUUUACAAUGCUUAUAUGUUUGAGAGAAAUAUACUGAAAAUUAUCACACAGACCCCCCUGAUGGCCACCUGUGAGCGUGACUAUGUCACAGAGAGCACACGUCACAGAAUUAGAUGGUGUCAGGAAGGCAGACUGGGACCCUAGUAGAUGAAGCCAGAAGAUAAACUUUGCCUACUUUGCAGUUUUAUUAAAAAUGGCCCCUCGCAGUGCAGAAUCCCCAAAGCAACUUGCAACAUACUCUUUGUGCAAAUGGAAGCGUGCUGUUUCUAUGGCAUCAUGGCAGAUGGCAUGAACUUCAACAUUUCAAGUCUUUAAAUGGCCCCAGCACACGGGCAGCUAGGUUCCUGUCCCUGAAGUUUGUCCCUUGGCAAACUUCCCCAUAUGGACAAGGUCUCCUCCCACUAUCUCCUAGCCUCCAAACCAAUUUGAUUUUUUGAAGGGUUACUUUUACAUGUUUCAUUUGUACAGAGCAGACUGUGGGACUCCAUCUUCCCCCUGCUGCAGAGACACGGUGGCCUGUCUUUGCAACAAUGAAAAUGACUUCUGGCUUCCAGGCAUUUAGGCUCCUGGCCUUGUGCUGGGAAACAUAGCUGAAAGACUUCCCGGGCUUUGUAGAGAUUUGGCCUCACUGGGGAACCAGGAGGUAGGUUUCUCUUCAGGGAGCUCUUUCCCCAUCAUAACAGUUUCAGUUUUACAGGCACAUUUUCCCUCAAGCCAUUACUUAAGAGAGAGCAGCAUGAAUGUGAAUAAUGCAGUAUGAGCAGAAAACUUGCAGUGAUGAGAGGUUGAGCUGCUAAGGCUCAUUCAGCCUGGAGAUUUGACUUUGUCGCUGUGGGACAAAGGGUCUUGUCCUGCCUAGGCUUUCAUUUCGGAGACAUUUAGGAGCUAGUUGAGUGAGAAUAGAAGCCAAAGGUAUAAUAUCCUUUCUUUCUCUUUCUCACUGUGUUUCUCCGUGAGCAAAGAAAUAUCUAGCAGGCAUUUGCAAUUCCUUUGCUCGGGCAGCCAAGUACAAAUCCAUUUGCUGAGUCCAAGAAGUACUGGGGCUUAGAUGAGAAUGCCAAAGCUUUGCAAAGCAAACCAUGGAAGGGCAAUUUCUGAUCUUAAAUUAGUGCCGUCAUGCAUGUGGAGAAUUCUAAUGGUCCACAUGUUGUGUUGCAUGGCUGUGAUGUUUUAGGAACUUGGAAGUUCUUGCACAGAUCCUCCAUUUCGCGCUUUUGAUUAAAUAGUAACAAACUAGUAUUUCCCAACCCAGACUGUUCAGACCAAAACCUUAUCACGACCAUUUGAUUAGCUUACUGGCCCUUGAAGCCGACAGAGCUUCUAUUGACUGCCAGUCAGCUGACACUGAUCCAUGGGGUGAGAGUCAGAUUGCUUUUCAGGGAAAGCUGGUUUUAGGGGAAGGAGAAGAACCAGGGAACAGACAUGAGCAUCCUCAGUGCCAUGUCCUAUAGUAGGUCCUUAAUGAACAGGACUUUGUAUAAUCUUCCCAACAGCCUCGACUUACAUUAUUAUUCCAUUUGGCAGAUGGUUAGAUAAGUUGAGUAGCUUUUUUACGGUCUCAUAGGCAGCCUGUCUAUGAGGGGCCAGACCAGACUCCGUCCGAAGCUCCACCAAGGCGGAGAUGGGAGCAGUCAUGUCAGCUGGGGCUCUGUGUUCCACGUGUCACAGGGUUGAAUCUCACUUUUAUUUUUUAUUUAUUUAUUUAUUUUGUUUUUCAGGGCCACACCUGUGGCAAAUGGAAGGUCCCAGACGAGGGGUUGAAUCAGAGCUACAGCUGCUGGCCCACACCACAGUUACAGCAAUGCCAGAUCCAAGCCAAGUCUGCGACUACACCACAGCUCACAGCAAUGCCAGAUCCUUGACCCACUGAGCAUGACCAGGAGUUGAACCCACAUCCUUAUGAAUACUAGUCGGAUUCAUUUCUGCUAUGCCACGAUGGGAACUCCUGAACCUCCUUCUGUUUUCCACCCAGAUCUUUUUUUAUGUCUAUAAUAUUGGCAGCUGCUCAAGUCCACAUCUUGUAGCCCCAAAGGGACUCUGAACCCUAGAAUUGUGUCCAAACCCAACAACAUAAAUAUGGAAACUAGGCAGGUGAUCUAAGGAAGCCCUGCUAGAGGAAUUCGCUCUGUGGGUCUGUGGUAUGCUUUGCUCCUCUCCCCAAGUCUGACCCUCUACUGUAGCCUUACUGAGAAGUGGCAUUCUAACAUAAGAUUAAUGAAUGUUAGACUUUACCAUACUUAAACAUAUUAAACCCUGCUUUAUACUACCUCAGCUGUUCGUAUUAAUUAGAAAUUUUAGAGCAACACAUUCAAAGGGUCCCUUCAUUAAAUAAACAAUCAUUGUGUACCUUCUAUAUGUUAGGCCCCAAGUUGUACCUAUCAAAUAUUUCCUAAGUGUGGUCUCUACUCUAGAGUACCAUCUAGGGGAGUUUUGUAGUGGUGCAGAGCAGAGGGCAGCUCCCUUCUGCUGUGGAUGUAAGAGAAGGCUCCCCAGAGAAAGAUACAUUUGAGAUGGGCUUUGAAGGAUGAAUAGGAGUUUUCUAGGAAGAGAAGGCAGGAAUGAAGACUAGGGAUCAAAUACCACCACACAAGCAUAUAGAAUAAGUACUGUACAAGUGUGUAUAGCACUGCACACGUUUUGCAGUCACUAUACAUAUUUUAUUGCCAAUGUAUUUAGCUCUGCAACAGUAUUUUAUAAUUUGUUUUUUGCACUGUAUAUUUUGGUUACCACUAUCACUAUCUAAAAGUGUGAUUUGGCAUGCCUACAUUAAGUUGAAGUAAGUAGUGUUUAUUCAGUGGUGGUAUGCAUUGUGACAAUUUGGGGUACCUUAGGAAUGCAUUCUUAGCAACCUAAUAUGUAUUGAGUACCUACUUUGUGCCAGCCUCCGUGGUAUUGAUUACACAUGUAACUGCAUUUAAAUUUUACAAUGAUCCUAUGAAUAGAAUGUUUUUGCUCUCAUUUUACAGUUGAGAUAACUAAGACUCAGAGACGUGAAGUAUAUACUUGGACUGUUAGGGUUUAGAUAGCAACUCCUUGCUUACCAGUUUUUGUUUGACCAUGAGCAAGUUUUGACCCUCUAAAUAUCAAUUUCCUCAUCAGCAAAUUAGUAGUAAUAAUAGUAUAUUUAUCACAAUGUUGUUGAAGGAUCGAUAGUGAUGAUCUGUGUUCAGCCUCUAGCCCAGUAGAAUUGCUUAAUGAAGUAUAACUAUUUUUAGUUAUUAUUGCAUAGGUUAGUAAACUUGCCCAGAAUUAAUCACUGUUCUAGAUGAUUCCAAAUCAUGUACUUACGUGUUUUAAAAUUAAGCUCAGAUUCCAUGACCAGCAAAAUAAACGAAGUUGUUGAAACAUGUAUCUUAAAUAAAUAGUUGCAGGUCAACAUUACACAUAAUCAAAGGAAUUCUCGUAAUUAUGAAGUGGUUAGUAAAUGGAUUUGAAUGCAAGAGAAAAUAAAUACUCCAGAGUUUUGAAUGUCAAUACUUGGGCCCAGUCUCAAAAAUCUUCCUUUUUUGGAUUUAUUUCUUACUUUAAUUGGUUGGUUGAGCUUUUAUUACAGUCUUUUUCCUCUUUACCAUGGAUAUAUUAUAUAUGUAUUUAUGUAUAUGUAUAUAUGUAUGUGUGUAUAUAUAUAUUAAAGCAAUGAUAUCUAUAAUUAGGUAUAUUAAAUAUUUUAUUUUUAAAUGAUUUUUAUUUUUUCCAUUAUACUUGGUUUGUAGUGUUCUGUCAAUUUUCUACUGAACAGCAAAGUGACCGAGUCACACAUACAUGUAUACAUUCUUUUUCUUGCAUUAUCCUCCAUCAUGCUCCAUUAUAAGUAACUAGAUAUAGUUCCCAGUGCUAUUCAGCAGAAUCUCAUUGCUUAUCCACUCCAAAUGCAAUAGUUUGUAUCUAUUAACUCCAGACUCCCAGUCUACCCAACUUUCUCCCUCUCCCCCUUGGCAACCACAAGUCUCCAAGUCCAUGAGUUUCUUUUCUGUGGAAAGGUUUAUUUGUGCCAUAUAUUAGAUUGCAGAUAUAAGUGAUAUCAUAUGUUAUUUGUCUUUCUCUUUCUGACUUACUUCACUUAGAAAGAGAGUCCCUAAUUCCAUCCAUGUUGGUGAAAAUGGCAUUAUUUUAUUCUUUCUUAUGGCUGCGUAGUAUUCCAUUGUGUAUAUAUACCACAUCUUCUUAAUCCAUUCAUCUGUCAAUGGACAUUUAUAUCUAACCUUAUUUCUUUUCAGUUAUCAAUAUUUCAGACAUUACCAAUUUGAACUCUGCUGCUUUAACAACUGCAGGUUUUGUCAGGGGUCAUUCUUAUUUGAAGCCAUUUCAAAUCCCGAAACCUUGCUAAGUCAAAGUCUGCUCCUACCAGGAAUCUAAAUCUGAGGAUGGGAGAUCUAACUGAGAAUUAAAGUGGGAGGAAAGCUUGUGAAUGACAAUGUUUUGCAAGUGCCACUCUUCUCAGAUGCCACUGUUUGAUAAUCCCUUCAUAUUUGUGAGUUGGAGCUUCAAGCUCAUGUCUGGAACUCAUGGGAGAUACUGACAGCAUUUGAAGACAUAGCUCUAUGUGUCCAGGGGCAAUGCUAUUUGGACUUCAGCUUUCACAAUUCUUUCUGGAAGGACUCACUUUGAUGUUAGGGCAAACCCCAAGAAACUACUUUGUUUGGUUGUAGCUAAGGUGUCAGUAAUGUUUCCAGGCCCAACAAUCUAAGGAAGGACAGGGAGGGAGGACCUUCCAGCCUGUACAGUAAGAUCUCUCUGAGAGCAGUAGGCACAAGGCAGGAGGUCACAGAUGUAUAUUUCUGCUUAGAAGACCCUGUUUUAUGCACACUGUGGUAUAUGGGAUGAUUGGCCAAUGGGGACAUGGUAUAGAGCACAGAGAACUCUACCCAAAAUUCUAUAAUAAUCUUUGUGGGAAAAGGAUCUGAAAAAGAAUGGAUGUGUGUGUAUACAUAACUGAAUCACUUUGUUGCACAAUGGAAAUUAUCACAAUAUUGUAAAUCAACUCUACUUCAAUA
rnacentral:lncRNA from 1 species